rnacentral:ncRNA from 1 species
CACAAAGGCUUGGUCCUGACUUUGCUAUCAACUUUAACCAAACUUACACAUGCAAGUAUCCGCACCCCCGUGAGAAUGCCCCACAGUUUCCUACUGGAAACAAGGAGCCGGUAUCAGGCACAACAUUUAGCCCACGACACCUUGCUAAGCCACACCCCCAAGGGAAUUCAGCAGUGAUAAAUAUUAAGCCAUGAGUGAAAACUUGACUUAGUUAAUGUUAAAAGGGUCGGUAAAUCUCGUGCCAGCCACCGCGGUUAUACGAGAGACCCAAGUUGACAGCCCCCGGCGUAAAGAGUGGUUAAGAACCCCACAAACUAAAGCCAAACGGCUUCAUAGCUGUCAUACGCGCAUGAAGAUACGAAACCCGAUUACGAAAGUGGCUUUAAUCCCCCUGACUCCACGAAAGCUAUGACACAAACUGGGAUUAGAUACCCCACUAUGCCUAGCCCUAAACAUUGAUAAUAUUCUACUUACUUUAUCCGCCCGGGUACUACGAGCAUCAGCUUGAAACCCAAAGGACUUGGCGGUGCUUUAGAUCCACCUAGAGGAGCCUGUUCUAGAACCGAUAAUCCCCGUUAAACCUCACCUUUCCUUGUCUAAUCUGCCUAUAUACCGCCGUCGUCAGCUUACUCUGUGAAGAGCUUGCAGUAAGCACAACUGGCACAGCCUAAAACGCCAGGUCGAGGUGUAGCGAAUGGAAAGGGAAGAAAUGGGCUACAUUCAAUACCAAUAAUGAAUACGAAUGACAUCCUGAAAAUAGAUGCCUGAAGGAGGAUUUAGUAGUAAGCAAAGAUUAGAGUGCUCUGCUGAAACCGGCCCUGAAGCGCGUACACACCGCCCGUCACUCUCCCCAAGCUAUAUUUAAAAACAUCGCUAAUAAACCAACACUGUAAAGGGGAGGCAAGUCGUAACAUGGUAAGUGUACCGGAAGGUGCGCUUG